CAGAGGCAGAGGAGGGAGGCGGGAGAACGAGCCCUGCCGGCAGCGCGGCCAACUUUCCUUCUGCAGCGCAGCAGGGCAGGGCAGCCUCUCAUCCCUCGGUGUGCGACCCUUGCCCCGGGUGCAUUCCUCCACAGCUGAUGCAGACAGAAGCACAAAGCACUGCAUUGACAGGGUGCAACACAAAGAGGCUGUGAAAAUUAAGAGGACUUCAGAUUUCUACUUCCAGUCUCCUGCUGCAUCUUCCCUGAUUUCUUCAGAGCUUUGUAUUUCCUAAGGGAGAGUAAAAAUCACCUCAGUGACAGCACAGGCUUGAUGUGUGUGGAGAGGUUUCAGAGGAGCUUCAUGUCCAGCUGAGAUGCUGUCAAUGGAGAUCAGAGGUUUCUAGCCACAGUCUCAUCAGAGCUAUGGAGAGACCUGGAGCUGCUGCGGGCAGUGGAAGUUUGGCUCAUGAGCUGCUCAUCUGCCUUUUGCCAUUACUGGUCUGCUUGCACCUUGGGAAGAAGAACUCCAAAGAACAACUGUUUCCUGCUGGUGACGUGAGAUGCCAUUAAUUUGUGCCAGGCUGGAGUUUGAAGCUCCCUGGCACACUGUAAAUUUGUAAUUGGCUGUUAUGUCUAAGGGGAACCUGACUGGGCAGCUGCAAUCUGAUGGCACUACCUAAAGGGAGUGAAGGAAGGGCCAACUUUUUCCCUUGGUGAGGGAGCUUUAACUGUAUAGAAGAUGAUGAGGAGCAUGGGGAGGCUUCUUAAACUUUUCUCAAUAGCUCAUUUCAGUAAUCGAGACUGGUGCUAGCUGCAUGCUUAAGCAGACCAUCAGUCUCAGCUCUGCAUGCCACCAAAUUACUGGCAAAAGGGGAGAGGAUGGACUAGGCUGGAGUAAUAAAUCUGCCCUAAUCAUCAUAUUAAAGGUUAUCUUCAUGGGGCUGCUGUUAUAAAGAAGAAACUAAAUACAGAGCAUUGGGGGGAGUCUUAUCCAUGUCAGGAAGUAUUUUCUGAGUUGUCAUAGUAUGCAAAGAAAGGCUGGGCUAGAUGUAUGUGUUGAAACAUUUCAGUAGGCAGAAAAGUAAUUAUUUUGACAAGA